rnacentral:rRNA from 1 species
AGAGUUUGAUCCUGGCUCAGGAUGAACGCUAGCUACAGGCUUAACACAUGCAAGUCGAGGGGAAACGACAUCGAAAGCUUGCUUUUGAUGGGCGUCGACCGGCGCACGGGUGAGUAACGCGUAUCCAACCUGCCCACCACUUGGGGAUAACCUUGCGAAAGUAAGACUAAUACCCAAUGACAUCCAUAGAAGACAUCUGAAAUGGAUUAAAGAUUUAUCGGUGAUGGAUGGGGAUGCGUCUGAUUAGCUUGUUGGCGGGGUAACGGCCCACCAAGGCGACGAUCAGUAGGGGUUCUGAGAGGAAGGUCCCCCACAUUGGAACUGAGACACGGUCCAAACUCCUACGGGAGGCAGCAGUGAGGAAUAUUGGUCAAUGGGCGAGAGCCUGAACCAGCCAAGUAGCGUGCAGGAUGACGGCCCUAUGGGUUGUAAACUGCUUUUAUAAGGGAAUAAAGUGGGUCACGUGUGACUUUUUGCAUGUACCUUAUGAAUAAGGACCGGCUAAUUCCGUGCCAGCAGCCGCGGUAAUACGGAAGGUCCGGGCGUUAUCCGGAUUUAUUGGGUUUAAAGGGAGCGUAGGCCGGAGAUUAAGCGUGUUGUGAAAUGUAGUGGCUCAACCUCUGCACUGCAGCGCGAACUGGUCUUCUUGAGUACGCACAACGUGGGCGGAAUUCGUGGUGUAGCGGUGAAAUGCUUAGAUAUCACGAAGAACUCCGAUUGCGAAGGCAGCUCACGGGAGCGCAACUGACGCUGAAGCUCGAAAGUGCGGGUAUCGAACAGGAUUAGAUACCCUGGUAGUCCGCACGGUAAACGAUGGAUGCCCGCUGUUGGCCUGAAUAGGUCAGCGGCCAAGCGAAAGCAUUAAGCAUCCCACCUGGGGAGUACGCCGGCAACGGUGAAACUCAAAGGAAUUGACGGGGGCCCGCACAAGCGGAGGAACAUGUGGUUUAAUUCGAUGAUACGCGAGGAACCUUACCAAGGCUUGACAUUGAAUGACCGCUUCAGAGAUGAAGCUUUCCCUUCGGGGACAUGAAAACAGGUGGUGCAUGGCUGUCGUCAGCUCGUGUCGUGAGAUGUUGGGUUAAGUCCCGCAACGAGCGCAACCCCUAUCCUAUGUUACCAGCGGGUAAUGCCGGGGACUCAUAGGAGACUGCCAAGGACAACUUGGAGGAAGGCGGGGAUGACGUCAAGUCAUCAUGCCCCUUAUGUCUUGGGCUACACACGUACUACAAUGGUCGGCAACAGAGGGAAGCGAAGCCGCGAGGCAGAGCAAACCCCAGAAACCCGAUCUCAGUUCGGAUUGCAGGCUGCAACUCGCCUGCAUGAAGUCGGAAUCGCUAGUAAUCGCAGGUCAGCAUACUGCGGUGAAUACGUUCCCGGGCCUU